rnacentral:snoRNA from 15 species
UGGGAGGCUGAUACACAAAUUGAGCUGAAGUGUGCUGCUCUAAUUGUCACCAAACCUCCCUAGAAUAAACUGCCUUUUGAUGACUGGGACGAACUGAGUUAAAUCGUCACGGACAGAUACGGGGCAGACAGUU